GUGCUCACUUGGCAGUACACAGACUAAAACUGGAACAAUAAAAAGAUCAGUAUGGCCCCUGCUCAAGGGUGAUAUUGAAAUUCACAAAGCAUCCCAUAUUUUU
ensembl:snRNA U6 U6 spliceosomal RNA